CGAAGCUGUGUGAGCACAAACUUGGCCUCUCCAUCGUUUUGCUGAGCCAGCCUUGACAAGGGCACUUUACUCUGGUUAAAUUCCAGAGAAGCAGUUUUUCUAAAACAACUUUGCCUCCUCUUUGGGGAUCAAAGGCAGAACGUGCCAUUUUCUACAUCCUGGCGAGGGGACGUAUUUGAAAUCCUCCAAGAGUUUGCGUCUUGGCCACUUUCCCAGUGUAUGUGCUUUAAAGAGACCAGAAAAUGAUGUUUUCAAAAUACUUCCUGGAAUCUUUUAUAAGUGCCACUGGGACAUCACCUGUCUCUCUUGCCACCGCCUGGCUCAGGCCUGGCACGUGCUCAGUGAGUUUGCAAGACUGAAGGACACCCUUGCCUCCAUGUCAAAUCCCAGGGGUCCCUCACAGCACUGCAUCCGGGAAGAUGGAGGCUGAGCCCCAGGUUGCAAGCCGUGGUGCUGGCCCUCGGGUAUGAAAUACACCAGUGAUUAUAAAGGGAAGACACAGGCUCCCUGAAGACAGGAGCCAUGUUUUGGUUGCGGCCUCCCCACGCUGGCCUGCGGAGAAGCUCCAGGGAUGUGCAUUGGAUACAUGAACGGAUAGAUGAGUGAGAGGUUUUGGGUGCCCUGAGCUCAUAAGUAUGUGUUUUAAGGCAAGUCAUACCACUUAUCAGUCAUACCACUCAGCCUUCUCACUCAUUUCACUGCAGAAUGAGAAUGCUACAUUCCUCUUAUUCUUACAUCCUGUAUUUGCACAGCACUUUUAAGUUAUUGCAUGUGACAGACAGAAGACAGCCUCAGCCUCCCAGCUCAGCCACUGGGUCUAGUCCAUUGGUCACAAACACAAACCUGCAAGGUGCAUGUGGCUCGGAGAGGGACCCCUCAAUGUCAGCAACAAGGGGGGAUUUCAGAAGU